UACGAAGGGAGCUAGCGUUGUUCGGAAUCACUGGGCGUAAAGCGCACGUAGGCGGACGUGUCAGUCAGGGGUGAAAUCCCGGAGCUCAACUUCGGAACUGCCUUUGAUACAGCACGUCUUGAGUCCGGAAGAGGUGGGUGGAAUUCCUGGUGUAGCGGUGAAAUGCGCAGAUAUCAGGAGGAACACCGAUUGCGAAGGCAGCUCGCUGGGACGUCACUGACGCUGAGACGCGAAAGCGUGGGGAGCAAACAGG
rnacentral:rRNA from 1 species